rnacentral:rRNA from 1 species
GACGAACGUUGGCGGCGUGCUUAACACAUGCAAGUCGAACGGUGAAGCGAGUGCUUGCACUCGUGGAUCAGUGGCGAACGGGUGAGUAACACGUGAGUAACCUGCCCAUCACUCUGGGAUAAGCACUGGAAACGGUGUCUAAUACUGGAUACGACCAACCCUUGCAUGGGGUGUUGGCGGAAAGAUUUAUCGGUGAUGGAUGGACUCGCGGCCUAUCAGCUUGUUGGCGGGGUAAUGGCCCACCAAGGCGACGACGGGUAGCCGGCCUGAGAGGGUGACCGGCCACACUGGGACUGAGACACGGCCCAGACUCCUACGGGAGGCAGCAGUGGGGAAUAUUGCACAAUGGGCGAAAGCCUGAUGCAGCGACGCCGCGUGAGGGAUGACGGCCUUCGGGUUGUAAACCUCUUUCAGCAGGGAAGAAGCGAAAGUGACGGUACCUGCAGAAGAAGCACCGGCUAACUACGUG